UACGUAGGGUGCGAGCGUUAAUCGGAAUUACUGGGCGUAAAGCGUGCGUAGGCGGUUCGUCAAGUCUGAUGUGAAAGCCCCGGGCUCAACCUGGGAACUGCAUUGGAAACUAGCGAGCUUGAGUGUGGCAGAGGGGGGUGGAAUUCCACGUGUAGCAGUGAAAUGCGUAGAGAUGUGGAGAACACCGAUGGCGAAGGCAGCCCCUGGGCUAACACUGACGCUCAGGCACGAAAGCGUGGGGAGCAAACAGG
rnacentral:rRNA from 1 species